CCCGGCCCCGGCCCGCCCGGAGGACGCGCCCAGUGCGCAGGAGUGGAAGCGGCAGCUACGAGAGGGCAGUUCUGACCUGCUUCGUUAGGAGGAAGUGGGAAGCGAAUCCGAGAAGGGGUGUACCUCCAGGCGGGCCCGCAGCAGGGGCCUGCCCCUUGGCGGGAGGUGGAACUGUGCCGGAGGCUGCAGGCUCUGUGGGGGCUGGCCAUAGUGGGGGCAGGCAGCGGCGGCAGGCAGCGGCGGCAGGCAGCGGCGGCAGGCAGCGGCGACGGUUGCUCACCAACGCCCACAGACGCUUGCAUGAAGGCAAAGGGGCGUCGCUCUCGUUCGCGUGCUGCCAGCUCCACGCUUUGGCCGUUUCCAAGCUGCAGAACAUUUUUAUGAUGUUGGGGAUGUACAGAGCCCUGGUCAACGUCUAGAGAUUUGCUAUCCUUUUAAGUUACGUGAUUGCCAAAUGUUAGACAUGGAAAUAGUUCAGGUAAAGUGUUACUUGGUUUCAUAAUUUUUACAAUAUCUAAAACCAGUUACCAACCUACACUGGAUAUGAAUGCAUUGUUUUUUGUUAACCCUCCGGGGGCAGUGGCCUUGACCCUGACCCCAGGUGGUCUUGACCCCUCCCCAGGGGUGGGUCUGAACACUACCAGGUGUGGUGGUUUAGUCCACUCCCACUUCCUGUCUAAGAUCCAUAAAAGCAGGAGGAUUUCCGGUUCUUUCUCUCUCUCUCUCCUGCCUUCCUGUUCACCAGCAAUCACCAUUCCUGUUUGUUGCUGCUCUUUGUUUCACUAUGUGGCAUUCACCCAGAAGGCGGACAAACUCAUUUCCAUCAAAUCUGGUUGUAUAUUUACGUGUUUUGUAUCUUGUUUUGCCUUCCCAUUGUUAAACUUUUCUUCUUUUAACCUCCAAAUCACAGUGAGAUUAUUUGGAUCUGCAUACCUUUUCUUGCUCUCUCCAUCUAAUCCCUUUUCUUUGGGAAAGAAGGGGGGAAAGGGAAGGGCAUCCUAUAAAUUGUUAUUGGUUCUAUGAACUAUAUUUGAGUCUCUGGGAAAUUUAAAUUACAACCGAGACAUCAUCUGUUCUAACCUAGUGCCGUCUCUUCUGCUGAAGGAAUGGUUCUCUGUUCCCAAAUAAUUUCUGCUGUUACUGAGGGUUUUUUUCAUAAAAUUCUUAGCAAUCUGUAAUGCAUAGCAUUAAAUAUUAGAGUAUCUCCUAGCAUAGCAGCGUGCAGCUGAUGUAUUUAGCGCACCUUUAAAUCCUUGUUGAGUUAAUUUAAUACAGAAAUCUUUAUCGAUCUAACAGAUUCCUACUGGAUUUCAGUGAGCCUGUUUAUCAGUGAGCAGGUGUGGUUCUGUUUGUCAAAGGACUGAGAACACAAUGACUGAUAGGAGUUACUACUAUACAGAUGUCUGUUUAAAACCCAUUUAAAUGGAAGAAUUCUUUCAGUUCUUGCAGUGUAAUGCACAGGCACUGAAAAUACUGUGCAAACCUGUCGUCAUUAUUUGACUUCUUAGGGUUUGCCAUGGUUUCAAGGUUUAUUAGCCUUUACAGAUCUGCCCUAUUAUAAGGCUUUAGCAUCAAGAGAAGCAUGGCCAGCAGGGCAAGGGAGGUGAUUCUCCCCCUUUGCUCUCAUCAGACCCCACCUGGAGUACUGUGUACAGUUCUGGAGUCCCAAACACGGGAAGGACAUCGAAUUGUUAGAGUGAGUCCAGAGGAGGGCCGCAAGGAUGAUCAUAGGCUGGAGCAACUCUGCUAUGUGGACAGGCUACAAGAGUUGGGGCUCUUCAGCCUGGAGAAGAGAAGAUUUCAAGGAGACCUUAUAGUGGCCUUCCAGUAUCUGAAGGGGACCUGCAGGAAGGCUGGGGAGGGACUAUUUACAAGGUCUUGUAAUGAUAGGACAAGGGGUAAUGGGUUUUAAACUGGCAGAAAGAAGAUUCAGACUAGAUGUUAGGUAAGGGUGUUUUCCAGUGAGGGUGGUGAGACACUGGCACAGGUUGCCCAGGGAGGUUGUGGAUGCCCCCUUCUUGGAGGUGUCCAGGUGUGAGAGUCUAAAUCCUCUCUCUUGUUCAUCAACAAAGAUAAAGAUUGCCUUUGUUAACCUCUGGAACUCAGACUAGGUGUUUGGUCAAAAGCUCAGGGAUGCAAAUCAAUGGACAAUGCCUUGGAAAUUCCUGGACCUCAGCCUGGCUUCAGUGCCCAGGAUGCUUAUAUCUUAUGUCAGCUACGUCAAAGAGAAUAGGCUUCUGUGUAUUCAGGGUAUGGACAGGUGCAGCCAGGGAGGGGGUGGAGGCCCUCCCCCUGUGGCGUUGGACCCCUGUGAAUGCAUGAGAAUACACAGGGAGAUUUCCUGGGGAGCUGCACCUGGAUGUCGACCUAAAAAAACGUAUAAAAGACAGGAGCAAUACCUGCCGAAAGUGUGGACUUCCAGCAGAAUACCAUGGGUGCACCUCCACCACACCAAGUGGACCUCCACCAGACUACCAAAGCUGCACCACCACCAGAAGAACCCCUGACAAACUCCACAGAAGAUCAUCCCUGGGCCACGCACCCGUCUCUCUCUCCCCCCCAUCUGCAACUGAGGGUAAAAUGAUCCCAGCUCUUUUCCUUCUCUUUAUCUCUCUCCAUCUGUUUUGUCCAACUUUAUCCUUUAAUAAAUAAUUUUGUGGUGA